rnacentral:rRNA from 1 species
AUUGAACGCUGGCGGUAGGCCUAACACAUGCAAGUCGAACGAGUGGCGGACGGGUGAGUAAUGUCUGGGCAACUGCCUGAUGGAGGGGGAUAACUACUGGAAACCGUAGCUAAUACCGCAUUCCCUAGGCUGUGCCCAGCUGUGAUUAGCGAGUAGGUGGGGUAAAGGCUCACCUAGGCGACGAUCCCCAGCUGGUCUGAGAGGAUGACCAGCCACACUGGAACUGAGACACGGUCCAGACUCCGACGGGAGGCAGCAGUGGGGAAUAUUGCACAAUGGGAGCAAGCCUGAUGCAGCCAUGCCGCGUGUAUGAAGAAGGCCUUCGGGUUGUAAAGUACUUUCAGUGGGGAGGCGUUAACCACAGAAGAAGCACCGGCUAACUCCGUGCCAGCAGCCGCGGUAAUAC